GUCCUCGCCGCUGGAGUACCCGUCGUUCUCUUCGGAGGCGUCCACUGACAGAGACGCCUUGUUCCAGCCUGGGUCGUGGUGAAAAAGACACAAAAACAAUUUGUGAAUUUUGCCAGGAGAACGCCACAGCCAUACGUAAAAAUCUCCAACGAGGAGCGCAAAACCACGAACUCUGAUCUGACACUGAAAGGCACAAAGAUCAGUCCAAACUCAUCCAAAAUCCCACAGAAGAUCAACAGUGAUAAGAGAGAGAACCCAGCAAAGCACGAAAACGAAUAAUUUGAUGGACAAAUCAAUGAUUUCUGAUGGGAGAUGCGAAUCAUUAUAAGGCUACUCUUACGGAUUGGGCUGAAUGGUUGAAGUGGAGCUUUGUUAAUGCUCAGUAUUUACACCACAAAAAAAAGUAGUAGAAGAAGAAAGAAUGAUUGAUUUGAGGUAGAGAAGGAUUCUUAACGGUGUCAUUUAGCCUCGAACUGACUGAACAGCAGAACUGCCUCCUGGAUUAUAGCCAAUGAGAAAUAAUUCGUCCAGGCUCACUACGAGGCUAAAUGACACGUAAAGUGGAUGUUCUGCUGCACUUUACCUCCAGUUAAAAUCAACCAUGACCACCACAAACAACAGCAAACACCCACUGUGGGCUGAUCCUCAGAGCAGCUCAGUACCUCUCCGCUUGCUCUGUAACAGACUAGAGGUACUCAUCCAUUUGACUCUGCUCAGAGCGAUGUGGGGCGCCGGCUCUGGAUGAGGAGAGACGGCCAGCAAAUGAGUGAGACAGCCAAUUGUGUCAAGUCUGAGAAAAAUGUGCACUUUGAAGGCCUGUGGUUAGAAACGCACAGAGGUUCUUGACUCUGAUAGGGAGAAAGUGUUAGUAAAUCAGUGGUCGGAAAGUUAGUACCUCAAUCAUUCUUAUGGAUAUUUGCUAAGUGGUUUAAAAUGAGUAUGGACGGAGCAUCUUUGCAACUUCACACAUGAUGAUGAUGACAAUGACCUGUGGAUGAAGGUGCACACAUGAUGAAAUAUACUUUACAGAACAUCUGCAUUCUUCAGAAAGCCAAAAACAUUAGUUAUAAAUAGUUCAAGCUGACUUCCAGGAUAUGCAGAUAGUCUGUACGGUUUCUCCUUCUACACAUUAAACAUGAUGAAUAUA